rnacentral:rRNA from 1 species
UACGAAGGGGGCUAGCGUUGCUCGGAAUCACUGGGCGUAAAGGGUGCGUAGGCGGGGCUUUAAGUCAGGGGUGAAAUCCUGGAGCUCAACUCCAGAACUGCCUUUGAUACUGAAGAUCUUGAGUUCGGGAGAGGUGAGUGGAACUGCGAGUGUAGAGGUGAAAUUCGUAGAUAUUCGCAAGAACACCAGUGGCGAAGGCGGCUCACUGGCCCGAUACUGACGCUGAGGCACGAAAGCUAGGGUAGCAAACGGG